AGAGCGAACGCUGGCGGCAGGCUUAACACAUGCAAGUCGAGCGGAUGUAGCAAUACAUCAGCGGCAGACGGGUGAGUAACACGUGGGAACGUACCUUUUGGUUCGGAACAACACAGGGAAACUUGUGCUAAUACCGGAUAAGCCCUUACGGGGAAAGAUUUAUCGCCGAAAGAUCGGCCCGCGUCUGAUUAGCUAGUUGGUGAGGUAAUGGCUCACCAAGGCGACGAUCAGUAGCUGGUCUGAGAGGAUGAUCAGCCACAUUGGGACUGAGACACGGCCCAAACUCCUACGGGAGGCAGCAGUGGGGAAUAUUGGACAAUGGGCGCAAGCCUGAUCCAGCCAUGCCGCGUGAGUGAUGAAGGCCCUAGGGUUGUAAAGCUCUUUUGUGCGGGAAGAUAAUGACGGUACCGCAAGAAUAAGCCCCGGCUAACUUCGUGCCAGCAGCCGC
rnacentral:rRNA from 1 species